GUGUGUGUGUGUGGGAGGGGGCUGCAGCACAGUAUGCAAACAAGAAAUGACAAAGAACAACUAUACAUGCAAGAGGAGAGCCCUAAAGAGGACAGAAAUCAGUGGGAGGAAAGAGGGAGCACUGUGCAACGAUGAUGAGAUAAAAGAGGACAGGGACGCAGCGCAUGAGUGGCAGAGAAACCGAACGGAUUUCCAGUGAGAGAUGAUGCUAGUUGGAGCCUUACCUGCAUGCCAGGAAGGGGCCCCGGCAGCUUGAUGUUGAGGAAGCUGCGGACCAGCUGGUAUGUUCCAGGCACACCUCCCAGUUGGGCCUGGUGGAGAUUCCCAAAGACCGUUCCCAUCGUGUGGUGUUUAUAUCUGCCAGUUCAGCAAAACCUGAAUUUCAGCUAAACUCCAGAUGAAUGAAAACGCAUCGCUUGAACUUGAGCGGUCGCUGAAACGGUUCCAAAGCCAGCUACCUGUUCUCCAGGAAGCUGAGCGCCUGACGCACGAAGGCCAUCUGCAUCUCAACUGAAGUGCGACUCUUGAGGGUGUCUUUGGCUGGAACCAGAAGCACAUCUGUCAUCUGCUUCACCAUAAGCCACAGCUCUGAGACGUUCUGGAGGACAGAGGGGGACACAGCUUCAUGAAAAAUAUUAAAACUGCAACGCCUCAAGCAGACUCUAAGAGCAUCAUUUAUUUAAAGGGCUUCAAACAGCAGGAGAGAACGUUUGUUUGUUAGGGAGACUGAAGUUUUGGCUUGCUAUUAGCGCCCCCUGGUGUCCAGUUAAUAAAACCAAAAGUGAAACUGUU